rnacentral:rRNA from 1 species
UAAUACAGAGGGUGCAAGCGUUAAUCGGAAUUACUGGGCGUAAAGGGCGCGUAGGUGGUUCUUUAAGUGAGAUGUGAAAUCCCCGGGCUUAACCUGGGAAUGGCAUCUUAUACUGGAGAGCUGGAGUGCAGUAGAGGGUAGUGGAAUUUCCGGUGUAGCGGUGAAAUGCGUAGAUAUCGGAAGGAACACCAGUGGCGAAGGCGGCUACCUGGACUGACACUGACACUGAGGCGCGAAAGCGUGGGGAGCAAACAGGAUUAGAUACCCUGGUAGUCCACGCUGUAAACGAUGAAAACUAGAUGUUGGGUAGCUUAGACUAUUCAGUAUCGAAGCUAACGCGAUAAGUUUUCCGCCUGGGGAGUACGGUCGCAAGAUUA